GAUGAACGCUGGCGGCGUGCCUAAUACAUGCAAGUCGAGCGAACGGACGAGAAGCUUGCUUCUCUGAUGUUAGCGGCGGACGGGUGAGUAACACGUGGAUAACCUACCUAUAAGACUGGGAUAACUACGGGAAACCGUAGAUAAUACCGGAUAAUAUUUUGAACCGCAUGGUUCAAAAGUGAAAGACGGUCUUGCCGUCACUUAUAGAUGGAUCCGCGCUGCAUUAGCUAGUUGGUAAGGUAACGGCUUACCAAGGCAACGAUGCAUAGCCGACCUGAGAGGGUGAUCGGCCACACUGGAACUGAGACACGGUCCAGACUCCUACGGGAGGCAGCAGUAGGGAAUCUUCCGCAAUGGGCGAAAGCCUGACGGAGCAACGCCGCGUGAGUGAUGAAGGUCUUCGGAUCGUAAAACUCUGUUAUUAGGGAAGAACAUAUGUGUAAGUAACUGUGCACAUCUUGACGGUACCUAAUCAGAAAGCCACGGCUAACUACGUG
rnacentral:rRNA from 1 species